rnacentral:rRNA from 1 species
UACGGAGGGGGCGAGCGUUAUUCGGAAUUAUUGGGCGUAAAGGGCGCGUAGGCGGCCUGGCAAGUCAAAGGUGAAAUCCCUCGGCUCAACUGAGGAACUGCCUUUGAAACUGCUUGGCUUGAGGCCGGGAGGGGGUAGCGGAAUUCCCAGUGUAGCGGUGAAAUGCGUAGAUAUCUGGAGGAAUACCGGUGGCGAAGGCGGCAUCCUGGACCGGUAUUGACGCUGAGGCGCGAAAGCUAGGGGAGCAAACGGG